rnacentral:rRNA from 1 species
UGCCAGCCGCCGCGGUAAUACGGAGGGGGCGAGCGUUGUUCGGAAUUAUUGGGCGUAAAGGGCGCGCAGGCGGCUUGAUAAGUCAGUUGUGAAAUCCCUCGGCUCAACCGAGGAACUGCAAACGAUACUGUCAGGCUUGAGUCCCGGAGAGGGUAGCGGAAUUCCCAGUGUAGCGGUGAAAUGCGUAGAUAUUGGGAGGAACACCAGUGGCGAAGGCGGCUUACUGGACCGGUACUGACGCUGAGGUACGAAAGCGUGGGGAGCAAACAGGAUUAGAUA